CCUACGGGUGGCAGCAGUGGGGAAUAUUGGACAAUGGGGGCAACCCUGAUCCAGCCAUGCCGCGUGUGUGAAGAAGGCCCUCGGGUUGUAAAGCACUUUCAGUGAGGAAGAACGCCUGGUGGUUAAUACCCAUCAGGAAAGACAUCACUCACAGAAGAAGCACCGGCUAACUCCGUGCCAGCAGCCGCGGUAAUACGGAGGGUGCGAGCGUUAAUCGGAAUUACUGGGCGUAAAGCGCGCGUAGGUGGCUUGAUAAGCCGGUUGUGAAAGCCCCGGGCUCAACCUGGGAACGGCAUCCGGAACUGUCAAGCUAGAGUGCAGGAGAGGAAGGUAGAACUCCCGGUGUAGCGGUGAAAUGCGUAGAGAUCGGGAGGAAUACCAGUGGCGAAGGCGGCCUUCUGGACUGACACUGACACUGAGGUGCGAAAGCGUGGGUAGCAAACAGGAUUAGAUACCCGAGUAGUC
rnacentral:rRNA from 1 species